CGCGACGUUUCGGCAGGCUACCAUGCAAGUCGAGCGGUAGAGAGGUGCUUGCACCUCUUGAGAGCGGCGGACGGGUGAGUAAUGCCUAGGAAUCUGCCUGGUAGUGGGGGAUAACGCUCGGAAACGGACGCUAAUACCGCAUACGUCCUACGGGAGAAAGCAGGGGACCUUCGGGCCUUGCGCUAUCAGAUGAGCCUAGGUCGGAUUAGCUAGUUGGUGAGGUAAUGGCUCACCAAGGCGACGAUCCGUAACUGGUCUGAGAGGAUGAUCAGUCACACUGGAACUGAGACACGGUCCAGACUCCUACGGGAGGCAGCAGUGGGGAAUAUUGGACAAUGGGCGAAAGCCUGAUCCAGCCAUGCCGCGUGUGUGAAGAAGGUCUUCGGAUUGUAAAGCACUUUAAGUUGGGAGGAAGGGCAUUAACCUAUUACGUUAGUGUU
rnacentral:rRNA from 1 species